rnacentral:rRNA from 1 species
UACAGAGGGUGCGAGCGUUGUCCGGAAUCACUGGGCGUAAAGGGCGCGUAGGUGGCGGCCCAAGUCCAUGGUGAAAGCUCGCCGCUUAACGGCGAGUCGGCCACGGAUACUGGGUUGCUCGAGCACUGUAGGGGCAGAUGGAAUUCCGGGUGUAGCGGUGGAAUGCGUAGAGAUCCGGAAGAACACCAGUGGCGAAGGCGGUCUGCUGGGCAGUUGCUGACACUGAUGCGCGACAGCGUGGGGAGCAAACAGG